CGAGCGCAACCCCUGUGGUUAGUUGCCAGCAAGUAGCGUUGGGCACUCUAGCCAGACUGCCGGUAAUAAAUACGGAGGAAGGUGGGGACGACGUCAAAUCAUCAUGCCCUUUAUGUCCUGGGCUACACACGUACUACAAUGGCCGUUACAACGGGAAGCGAAGGAGCAAUCCGGAGCAAAUCCCUUAAAGGCGGUCCCAGUUCAGAUUGUGGGCUGAAACUCGCCCACAUGAAGGCGGAAUUGCUAGUAAUUGCAGAUCAGCAUGCUGCAGUGAAUACGUUCCCGGGCCUU
rnacentral:rRNA from 1 species